rfam:Heterocephalus glaber contig168485, whole genome shotgun sequence.
ACUGGGAUGGCCAAGUGGUUAAGGCGUUGGAUUCAAGAUCCAACAGCCAGAAGUCUGCGUGGGUUCAAACCCCACUCCCGGUA